rnacentral:lncRNA from 1 species
CUCAUCAUAACUGUUGUAUGCCUUGUAUGUAGAAUGCAAAAUGGAUCGCCAACUUUUGUAGCGUGCAUUGGCAACCUUCCAUAUCUUUUUUUUCGGACUCCCAGUGGUCUCAAGGUCCCAAUGAUCCUAGUGGAAAAGAAAACUUGUAAUGUAUGCUAUAUUCAUAAUAUAUGUUUCCAAGAAAAUAGAGGGAACAAGACUAAUAUAUAUAAAACAUUAUAAUGCAGCAUGAGGUGGCCAUUGACAUACCAUUACAGAUUCUACGAUAUCCC